UGAUGAGAUUGAGUUCCCAGAGAUGGUAGAGCCCCUGAGGGCUGCAUUGGAAGGAAUGAUACAAUCAAUCCAACUGUUACCUUUGGGGUGCUUUUUGGAUGGACUAAUCUGAAGAUGUUGGCUAGCUUGCACCGCCAUCAUAUAAUCUAGAAGCAAGGGCAAGGAUUAUAGGGAAAAUAAAGGCAAUUCGCCAACCAGAGGAAAUGCCAACCAAUAGAUUUUUGUACUUCCUCUGUUACAGAGGUAAAAUUACUACUACUUUUGAAAGCUUUUUUUGUUGCAUGUUCCCCUUUCUUAAUCUUCUAUUUGUUCAAAUGUACAUACACGAGCUUAUAAUCCUUAGUACACAAUGCAUCUCACCAUACUAUUGUUUUCCUGAAAAUUUAUACUCACAUAGUUCCAU